CCAGCUGAAAAAGGUUUAAACCUCAGAAAUGCUUGUCUUGCUCAUUAGCAUCUCAUUGAAGGACUAGUUACAAAGAGGAGAGCAGCUACUGCCUUGUCUGGGAAACAAGCAGAGCUGCAGGGGUUCGGCUGAGCCUCCAGAGGUCUCCAGGAUCUCAAAAGGGUCUGUUUAUUUAUUUGAAUGGCUAAAGAUCUGAUGAGGGGAGAAAAGUUCUAAUGUAUUUGCAAACCUGAGAAAGCUGGAGAGCAACUGUGGAAUCGUAGAGUCAGUCAGGGUUGGAAGGGACCACAAGGAUCAUCUACUUCCAACCCAGCUGCUCAUGACCUUUCAUAGGACACAAUAAUUUGGCUCAUGUUUCCUUCAGCAUUGUCUUCAGCAUGCAGGAGCUGGAUGUGUUUGCUGGUGUCCCAAGAGCAGAGCAGCCCUCUACUCCUGUGAUGCCUUUAUCCCAUCCAACUGCAGUUUGUUGACUCUACUGAGAGGCUCAGACUUAGGAAUGCCCUUGGCCUGUGAUGCCCUCAUAUAAGAUGCACCCAGCUCUGUGUUGCCUUCUGGAGUAACUUCUCCCCUUCCAGGACCUGAGUGAGAUGUCCUGCUCUGCAUGGCUCCAGGUUAAAGCACUUAGGAGUCCAGACACGGGCUUCACCGAGGCACAGUUUCUCAGUCACGCUCAACAUGAAAAAUAACCUCUGCUUUGCUUUUCUCAUUUCUCCUGCACCAGCUUUUCUAAAGAGACACAGAACGAGGGUGUAGUGGGCAAUUUACCAGGUGAUGGAUGCGAUGGGAGAGAUAUUUCACUUUUCCAUGGCUGCCUCUGACUUGCUGAUAGCAUAAAAGUUAUUUAUAAGGCUAAAAAGGUACUAUGUGCAAACAAACUCAUUAAUACCUGAUGCUUUCAAAGCAUUCUGUCAAAAAAUAAUAAAUCUGAGUUCCCAAAGUCA